AGCAGCCGCGGUAAUUCCAGCUCCAAUAGCGUAUAUUAAAGUUGUCGCAGUUAAAAAGCUCGUAGUUGAAUUUCGGGAUUAAUAUGUUGGUCGUGCCUUGGUACGUACUGGCAUUAUUGAUUCCUACCUUCUGAAGAACCUCGAUGUCAUUAAUUUGGUGUCUUGGGGAAUCAGGACUGUUACUUUGAAAAAAUUAGAGUGUUUAAAGCAGGCUCGCGCUUGAAUACAUUAGCAUGGAAUAAUGAAAUAGGACGUUUGAUUCUAUUUUGUUGGUUUCUAGGAUCGACGUAAUGAUUAAUAGGGAUAGUUGGGGGCAUUAGUAUUCAAUUGUCAGAGGUGAAAUUCUUGGAUUUAUUGAAGACUAACUACUGCGAAAGCAUUUGCCAAGGAUGUUUUCAUUAAUCAAGAACGAAAGUUAGGGGAUCGAAGACGAUCAGAUACCGUCGUAGUCUUAACCAUAAACUAUGCCGACUAGGGAUCGGAUGAUGUUAAUUUUUAAUGACUCAUUCGGCGCCUUAAC
rnacentral:rRNA from 1 species